GACGUUUGGGGACGGUUGGGGACAUUUGGAGGAGAUUCUCCCAAUUUCCCUCCAAAACCCCCCCCCCGAAUGUCCCCAAACCCCCAAAUCCCCCCAAAUCCCCCCAAAUGUCCCCAAAUGUCCUCGAUGUCCCAAACCCCCCCAAUGUCCUCGAUGUCCCCCAAAUGUCCCCAAUCCCCCCAAUGUCUCCAAUCCCCCCAAAUGUCCUCGAUGUCCCCAAACCCCCCAAUGUCCCCAAAUCCCUCCGAUGUCCCCAAAUGUCCCCAAUGUCCCCCAAUGUCCCCAAAUCCCCCCAAAUGUCCCCCAAAACCCCCCAAAUCCCCCCAAACGCCCCCUCUGUCCCCUCACCACUGGGGCGGCAGCUCCAGCCGGGGCCGGGGCAGUUCCGGGGGUCGGCGGCUCCGGAGCCUCCCCAGGAGCUGCCGGUCCGAGAGGUGGGGGAGGGGCUGAGCCCCCCACUCCAGCAGCUCCCACAGCGUCACCCCCAGCGCCCUGAGGGGACAAUGCCACCAUCAGUGUCACCAUCAGUGUCACCUCGGGGUCACCUCGGGGUCACCUCGGGGUCACCAGAACCCCCCAGGGUCACCCCCAGCGCCCUGAGGGGACAAUGCCACCAUCAGUGUCACCGGUGUCACCUCGGGGUCACCAGAACCCCCCGAGGGUCACCAAAACCCCCCCAGCGUCACCCCCAGCGCCCUGAGGGGACAGAGGGGACAAUGCCACCAUCAGUGUCACCUCGGGGUCACCAGAACCCCCCCAGGGUCACCAGAACCCCCCCAGGGUCACCAGAACCUCCCAAAUCCCCGCAAAAGUCCCCAAAUGUCCCCAAAUCCCCAAAUCCCCUCAAACCUCCCAAACCUCCAAAAUCUCCCCAAAAUCCCCCCAAUGUUCCCAAAAUCCCCAAAUCCCCCCAACCCCCCUAAAAUCCCCAAAUGUCCCAAAUCCCUCCAAAUCCACCAAACCUCCCAAAUCCACCCAAACCCCCCAAACUCCCCAAACCCCCCAAAACCCCCAAACCUCCC
rnacentral:lncRNA from 1 species